AAAUGUGGCCUCUAAGGAUGCUCAGACAGGUGGAUAUGUAUAGUAGGACCCUAGCUUUACCAUCCUGGCAUAUCAUUCCCAUCAUAGCUAUUUCAUUUUUUUCCAAUUAGUUGCUGAAAUGUCUACAUGUUCUUAUCGAGUUGAAAGAUCAGUGUCUCCCUGUCUCAUUAAAUUUCCAGAACUUCAGAGGCUAAAUCAAUCCAAUAAUGGUAUCUUCAAUGGUAUGAUGUUCCCUCUAUUGGAACUCUUUUUAUUGUUUAUUUAUAUCUCAUUUAAUCCUCUCAAGAACCCUAUGAUGUUGGUGCUGUUGAUAUCCCCAUUUUAAAAACAAAAAAAAAUGACACUCAAAAAGACUUAGUAACUUGCCCAAGUUCCCCUAUCUGGUAAGCAGCUAAGUCACUGUCUUUUGAUCUAAAAAACAAAACAAAACAAAACAAAAAAACAAACCAACAAAAAAGAGAACUGUCAAAGUCCAUCAUAUCCCUGAAAACCUAUAAUUUUCUGAGCAUUCAUUAAUUCUUAUUACUUUCAUUUAAGUAUACCUUUUAAAUUCCAUUUAUUUAUUCAAUGUUAACAUAUUAUGCAGCUUUAAUUAGCUAAAACCAUGCUCUUGAAAAAAUUUGUUUUUCCUUUAUGUCUUUUUACCUAGGAAGUUCUUAGCAGGAUUAAAAAUUCAAGAUUAAAUGCUUUAAGACUGUAAAGAAAAUUCAUUACCAAUUAUUAAAAUUCUGACAAAAGAAUAGUAAUGAUGGCAACAUAAACUCAAUUAUAACAGCACACACGUCAAUUAAACCUACUUUCCUGUGCUUCCUUCCCUAAAGGUAAGUGUCACCAUGUUCCAAUAAUUUUUAUUUUGAAAUGUUUCACCCUCUUUUAUUUUCCAUCCCAACUGUGGUUCUCAUUGCUUUUCAUACCUGGGUUAUUUUUAACAGUUUACUGCCCCUCCUCCUAAUACAUUUAUUGAAAUUCUCCUAAAACACCCAGUUC
rnacentral:lncRNA from 1 species